rnacentral:rRNA from 1 species
CCUACGGGCGGCAGCAGUGAGGAAUAUUGGUCAAUGGACGCAAGUCUGAACCAGCCAUGCCGCGUGCAGGAAGACGGCUCUAUGAGUUGUAAGCUGCUUUUGUACGAGGGUAAACGCAGAUACGCGUAUCUGUCUGAAAGUAUCGUACGAAUAAAGAUCGGCUAACUCCGUGCCAGCCGCCGCGGUAAUACGGAGGAUUCAAGCGUUAUUCGGAUUUACUGGGGUUAAAGUGUGCGUAGGCGGUCGGAUAAGAUAGAGGUGAAAUCCCGAGGCUCAACUUCGGAAUUGCAUCUGAUACUGUUCGGCUAGAGAGUAGUAGCGGUAGGUGGAAUGUAUGGUGUAGCGGUGAAAUGCGUAGAGAUCAUACAGAACACCGAUUGCGAAGGCAGCUUACCAAGCUACGUCUGACGUUGAGGCACGAAAGCGUGGGGAGCAAACAGGAUUAGAUACCCUGGUAGUC